rnacentral:tRNA from 1 species
CAACGCAUAGCUCAACUAGAACAGCAUCUCCCUUACACUGAGAAGAUACCCGUGCAAACCGGGUUGCCUUGA